rnacentral:rRNA from 1 species
GAUGAACGCUGGCGGCGUGCCUAAUACAUGCAAGUCGAGCGAACAGACGAGGAGCUUGCUCCUCUGACGUUAGCGGCGGACGGGUGAGUAACACGUGGAUAACCUACCUAUAAGACUGGGAUAACUUCGGGAAACCGGAGCUAAUACCGGAUAAUAUAUUGAACCGCAUGGUUCAAUAGUUAAAGACGGUUUUGCUGUCACUUAUAGAUGGUUCCGCGCCGCAUUAGCUAGUUGGUAAGGUAACGGCUUACCAAGGCAACGAUGCGUAGCCGACCUGAGAGGGUGAUCGGCCACACUGGAACUGAGACACGGUCCAGACUCCUACGGGAGGCAGCAGUAGGGAAUAUUCCGCAAUGGGCGAAAGCCUGACGGAGCCAUGCCGCGUGAGUGAUGAAGGUCUUCGGAUCGUAAAACUCUGUUAUUAGGGAAGAACAAAUGUGUAAGUAACUAUGCACGUCUUGACGGUACCUAAUCAGAAAGCAACGGCUAACUACGUG